rnacentral:rRNA from 1 species
GACGAACGCUGGCGGCGUGCUUAACACAUGCAAGUCGAACGAAGAUAUGUUGAAAGCUUGCUGAUACAUAUUUUAGUGGCGGACGGGUGAGUAACGCGUGAGGACUUGUCUAGUACAGGGGGACAACAGUUGGAAACGGCUGCUAAUACCCCAUAAGCCUAAGGGUAAAAGGCGCAAUCCGGUACAUGAGAGACUCGCGGCCUAUCAGCUAGUAGGUGGGGUAACGGCCCACCUAGGCGAAGACGGGUAGCCGGCCUGAGAGGGCGAACGGCCACAACGGAACGGAGACACGGUCCAGACUCCUACGGGAGGCAGCAGUGAGGAAUAUUGAGCAAUGGAGGGAACUCUGACCCAGCGACGCCGCGUGAGUGAAGAAAUCCCUCGGGAUGUAAAGCUCUGUUGUGUGGGAAGAUAAGGACGGUACCACACGAGGAAGCCCCGGCAAACUACGUGCCAGCCGCCGCGGUAA